rnacentral:lncRNA from 1 species
CGAUAAAGGCCAAGAGUUCAGAUCAAGAAAUGUACAACGCGUUUUUCAAUCCGAGGGAAUUAAUCAUUUCUAUGCCUUAAACGAGGUGAAAGCAGCUAUUUCAGAAAGAGCAAUAAAAACCAUUAAGACCAGGAUAUAUCGUUACUUUGCCUAUAAACAAUCUUACAAAUACAUAGAUAAAUUGCAAGAUUAUGCUGAAGGUUAUAAUAAGACUGUACAUAGAACCAUAGAUAUGCCAC